UACAGAGGUCCCAAGCGUUACUGAGAAUCACUGGGUUUAAAGGGUGCGUGGGUGGUCCGUUAAGUCAGUUGUGAAAUCCCCGGGCUCAACUCGGGAACUGCUUCUGAUACUGGCGGACUUGAGGCCAGUAGGGGUCACUAGAACUGACGGUGGAGCGGUGAAAUGCGUAGAUAUCGUCAGGAAUGCCGGUGGUGAAGACGGGUGACUGGGCUGGUUCUGACACUGAGGCACGAAAGCGUGGGGAGCGAACGGG
rnacentral:rRNA from 1 species